rnacentral:snRNA from 1 species
AGCUUUGCUCAGAGGCAAUAUUGCAACCAAUGAAGUUAAUCUGAGGCACAAUUAUUGCUAAUCGAAAGACAUUUAUU